rnacentral:rRNA from 1 species
AUUGAACGCUGGCGGCAGGCUUAACACAUGCAAGUCGAGCGGAGAUGAGGUGCUUGCACCUUAUCUUAGCGGCGGACGGGUGAGUAAUGCUUAGGAAUCUGCCUAUUAGUGGGGGACAACAUUCCGAAAGGGAUGCUAAUACCGCAUACGUCCUACGGGAGAAAGCAGGGGAUCUUCGGACCUUGCGCUAAUAGAUGAGCCUAAGUGGGAUUAGCUAGUUGGUGGGGUAAAGGCCUACCAAGGUGACGAUCUGUAGCGGGUCUGAGAGGAUGGUCAGCCAAACUGGGACUGAGAGACGGGCCAGACUCCUACGGGAGGCGGCAGUGGGGAAGAUUGGACAAUGGGGGGAACCCUGAUCCAGCCAUGCCGCGUGUGUGAAGAAGGCCUUAUGGUUGUAAAGCACUUUAAGCGAGGAGGAGGCUACUGAGACUAAUACUCUUGGAUAGUGGACGUUACUCGCAGAAUAAGCACCGGCUAACUCUGUGCCAGCAGCCGCAGUAACAC